AUUGAACGCUGGCGGCAUGCCUUACACAUGCAAGUCGAGCGCAUCCUUCGGGGUGAGCGGCAGACGGGUGAGUAACGCGUGGGAACGUACCCUUUCCUACGGAAUAGCUCCGGGAAACUGGAAUUAAUACCGUAUACGCCCUUAGGGGGAAAGAUUUAUCGGGGAAGGAUCGGCCCGCGUUGGAUUAGCUAGUUGGUGGGGUAAAGGCCUACCAAGGCGACGAUCCAUAGCUGGUCUGAGAGGAUGAUCAGCCACAUUGGGACUGAGACACGGCCCAAACUCCUACGGGAGGCAGCAGUGGGGAAUAUUGGACAAUGGGCGCAAGCUUGAUCCAGCCAUGCCGCGUGAGUGAUGAAGGCCUUAGGGUUGUAAAGCUCUUUCAGUAGGGAAGAUAAUGACGGUACCUACAGAAGAAGCCCCGGCUAACUUCGUGCCAGCAGCCGCCGUAA
rnacentral:rRNA from 1 species